ACAGCAGUAGCCACGGUAAUACGGAGGAUCCAAGCGUUAUCCGGAAUCAUUGGGUUUAAAGGGUCCGUAGGCGGUCUUGUAAGUCAGUGGUGAAAGCCCAUCGCUCAACGGUGGAACGGCCAUUGAUACUGCAGGACUUGAAUUAUUGGGAAGUAACUAGAAUAUGUAGUGUAGCGGUGAAAUGCUUAGAGAUUACAUGGAAUACCAAUUGCGAAGGCAGGUUACUACCAAUUGAUUGACGCUGAUGGAAGAAAGCGUGGGUAGCGAACAGGAUUAGAUACCCGCGUAGUCCCUGUCUCUUAUAC
rnacentral:rRNA from 1 species